CACUUUCAGCGACGUAUAUUGACCAAUAUACUACAAUCGGACAUUUGCACCGAUCUAUACACUACGAUUUACAAAAAAUAUACUACACUAGCACGCAAAUAUACUACAACUCCGUUUCAAUAUAACUACACUUUCGUAAAACAACCCCAAAAUAUGGUAGUAUAUGCUGAAAAUACACAAUUAAAAAACGCUACGAUUUC
rfam:Hyphantria cunea nucleopolyhedrovirus genomic DNA, complete genome.